rnacentral:rRNA from 1 species
CCUACGGGCGGCAGCAGUGAGGAAUAUUGGUCAAUGGGCGCGAGCCUGAACCAGCCAAGUCGCGUGAGGGAAGACGGCCCUAUGGAUUGUAAACCUCUUUUGUCGGGGAGCAAAAGACGCCACGCGUGGCGUUCCGAGAGUACCCGAAGAAAAAGCAUCGGCUAACUCCGUGCCAGCGGCCGCGGUAAUACGGAGGAUGCGAGCGUUAUCCGGAUUUAUUGGGUUUAAGGGGUGCGCAGGCGGAAGAUUAAGUCAGUGGGAAAAUGGAGGGGCUCAACCUCGUCGAGCCGUUGAAACUGGUUGGCUUGAGUGUGCGAGAAGGAGGCGGAAUGCGAGGUGUAGCGGUGAAAUGCAUAGAGAUCACGCAGAAUGCCGAUUGCGAAGGCAGCAUACCGGCGCUAAACUGACGCUCAUGUACGAAAGUGUGGGGAUCGAACAGGAUUAGAUACCCGGGUAGUC